GUGUGUGUGUGUGUGUGUGUGUGUGUGUGUGUGUGUGUGAAUCUGGAUCUGACUAGGGGUUGAUGCCAAGUGAAGUGCCAGGGGAGGAAGUAACACAAGCACUGGAUUCAGGAAAGGAUGGACCACUGGGCCAUUUCCAUCCUAUAACCAAGGACUAUUGCUGUGCUGGUAUCUUCAUCUGCGACCCUCAGUUGGAGCUGAGAGAUUCGCUUGCAUUUCUAGAGCUUUCUUGAGUGAUCAUCUCCUCCUACUUUCGCCAUUAUAGGUGUGGUACAGUGAACAGCUGCCUGAUUUGCCCCCUCUUGGGAUGAUGCUGCCUGCUCUUCUCUCUCCAGACCAUCCCACCUAAGCAGCCCCAAACUGACUUCUAGGAAGAAGAGUAAAAAACAUGUAUGCAAAGUGAACCACCAAAUGAAUAAUUACUUAGGACAAUGAACGAAAUCUGAAAGGUUGCUGACGUGAGACUUUAUCGAAGGUUUAAAUCCCUGUUUUAAUAUAUACACAGCAAG
rnacentral:lncRNA from 1 species